AUACGGAGGGUGCAAGCGUUACUCGGAAUCACUGGGCGUAAAGCGCGCGCAGGCGGCUUGAUAAGUUGGAUGGGAAAGCCUACGGCUCAACCGUAGAACUGCAUCCAAAACUGUCAAGCUAGAGUCUGGGAGGGGAAGAUGGAAUUAGUUGUGUAGGGGUAAAAUCCGUAGAGAUAACUAGGAAUACCAAAAGCGAAGGCGAUCUUCUGGAACAGUACUGACGCUGAGGCGCGAAAGCGUGGGGAGCAAACAGGAUUAGAAACCCUAGUAGUCC
rnacentral:rRNA from 1 species